rnacentral:snRNA from 1 species
AUGCUCUCUUAGGCAGCACAUAUACUAAAAUUGGAAUGAUACAGAGAAGAUUAGCAUGGCCCCUGCACAAGGAUGACAUGCAAAUUCAUGGUGUUCCAUAUAUUUUU